rnacentral:rRNA from 1 species
CAGCAGCCGCGGUAAUACGAAGGGGGCUAGCGUUGCUCGGAAUUACUGGGCGUAAAGCGCACGUAGGCGGCUCUUUAAGUCGGUGGUGAAAUCCUGGAGCUCAACUCCAGAACUGCCUUCGAUACUGAUAGCUUGAGUACGGGAGAGGUGAGUGUGAACUGCGAGUGUAUAGGUGAAAUUCGUACAUAUUCGCAAGAACACCAGUGGCGAAAGCGGCUCACUGGCCCGGUACUGACGCUCAGGUGCGAAAGCGUGGGGAGCAAACAGGAUUAUAUACCCUGGUAGUCCACGCCGUAAACGAUGAAUGCUAUCCGUUGGCGAGCUUGCUCGUCAGUGGCGCACCUAACGCAAUAAGCAUUCCGCCUGGGGAGUACGGUCGCAAGGUUAAAACUCAAAGGAAUUGACGG